rnacentral:ncRNA from 1 species
CUCAGUUUUUGGCAAACUAACUGAAAAGUUAGGACGCAAAGUUUCCGGUCUAAGGUUUUGUUAACAAAACUAUGAUAGCGGGGCCGCCGAU